UAACGUAGGGUGCAAGCGUUAUCCGGAAUUAUUGGGCGUAAAGGAGCUCGUAGGCGGUUUGUCGCGUCUGCUGUGCAAAACUGGAGGCUCGAACCUCCAGCCUGCAGUGGGUACGGGCAGACUAGGAGUGCGGUAGGGGAGAUUGGAAUUCCCGGUGUAGCGGAUGAAAUGCGCAGAUAUCGGGAGGAACACCAGUGGCGAAGGCGGCACUCUGGGCCGGUACUGACGCUGAGGAGCGAAAGCGUGGGGAGCGAACAGG
rnacentral:rRNA from 1 species